UACGUAGGGGGCGAGCGUUGUCCGAAGUUACUGGGCGUAAAGCGCGCGUAGGCGGACUCUUAAGUGAGGGGUGAAAGGUUCAGGGCUCAACCCGAACACUGCCUUUCAUACUGGGAGUCUUGAGUGCGGGUGAGGCGAGUGGAAUGGUCGGUGUAGCGGUGAAAUGCGUAGAUAUCGAUCGGAACACCCAUGGCGAAGGCAGCUCGCUGGGACGUUACUGACGCUGAGACGCGAAAGCGUGGGGAGUAAACAGG
rnacentral:rRNA from 1 species